GUAGGUGACAAGCGUUGUCCGGAAUUAUUGGGCGUAAAGCGCGCGCAGGUGGGUUCUUUAAGUCUGAUGUGAAAGCCCCCGGGCUCAACCGGGGAGGGUCAUUGGAAACUGGGGAACUUGAGUGUAGGAGAGGAAAGUGGAAUUCCACGUGUAGCGGUGAAAUGCGUAGAUAUGUGGAGGAACACCAGUGGCGAAGGCGACUUUCUGGCCUGUAACUGACACUGAGGCGCGAAAGCGUGGGGAGCAAACAGGAUUAGAUACCCUGGUAGUCCACGCCGUAAACGAUGAGUGCUAAGUGUUGGGGGGUUUCCGCCCCUCAGUGCUGCAGCUAACGCAUUAAGCACUCCGCCUGGGGAGUACGGUCGCAAAGACUG
rnacentral:rRNA from 1 species